AGCAACCCACACCUACAGCUACCCAGAGGAAGGAAUGAACUAUGACCUGCACACAGAAGCCCUUCGGGCCUCUUCCAUGCAGUUUCCAGAUCCCCAAGGAAACUCAUUACCAUUUUAAAUAAUAAUUUAAAAUAAUAACAUGAUGCUAGAAGCAGAGAUGAUAUCUUGGUUUCUGAGUAUUGGAAAUGAACUUGCAGAGAUAAACUUCUAAUGUGUUUGAGAAACUUAACUCCAGAGCACUUAGAAUGGCAGAAUGAACUGGUGAACCUGGUGAACUUCCUCUCCCUCUAAAAAAAGAAAAUUUGAAGAACACAACUAAAAUCAACCACGUCAGAACGCUGGCAAUUCACCAAUGCCACAGAAUGAACUGAAACAUCCUCUGUCCAAGUGAAACUACUGAACCUCAUUAAUACCAUGGACUAGAAAAUUACUGGAGCCUUUAUCCUCAGGACUAGAAAAUUACUGGAAGUGCCCUGAAGGCACAGAGGCUCCGGGAACUUACGAAACAGGACAUACCAGACCAUGAGUGGAUGGGACCCUGCACCCAAAGAUAACAUCGAGACUAUUUGCAGCCCAACUGAAACAUCCUGUCCUACAACCACACCAUUACUGGGUAAAAGCCCAAAGCCCUAUCCCUCACAGAUGUGCAUUUCUCUGCACCCAGCCCUUUCCCUACCUUGGGAGAGUAAAAAUAAAAAUGUUUAGUCUCUGCA